UACGUAGGGUGCGAGCGUUGUCCGGAAUUAUUGGGCGUAAAGGGCUCGUAGGCGGUCUGUUGCGUCAGGAGUGAAAACUCGGGGCUUAACCCCGAGCCUGCUUCUGAUACGGGCAGACUAGAGGUAUGCAGGGGAGAACGGAAUUCCUGGUGUAGCGGUGAAAUGCGUAGAUAUCUGGAGGAACACCGGUGGCGAAGGCGGCAUUCUGGACUGUAACUGACACUGAGGAACGAAAGCCAGGGGAGCAAACGGG
rnacentral:rRNA from 1 species